rnacentral:rRNA from 1 species
GACGAACGCUGGCGGCGGGCUUAACACAUGCAAGUCGAACGGAAAGGCCCUGCUUUUGUGGGGUGCUCGAGUGGCGAACGGGAGAGUAACACGGGAGUAACCUGCCCUGGGGGUUGGGAUGACUUCAGGAAACUGGGGCUAAUACCGGAGAGGAGCUCCUGCUGCAGGGGGGGGGUUGGAAAGCUUGGGCGGUGGUGGAUGGAGUCGCGGCUUAUCAGCUUGUUGGUGGGGGAGUGGCUUACCAAGGCAUUGGCGGAUAGCCGGCCUGAGAGGGUAGACGGCGACCAUGGGACUGCGAUACGGACCAGACGCGUACGGGAGGCAGCAGUGGGGAAUAUUGCACAAUGGGCGGGCGUCUGAUGAAGAAACGCCGCGUGCGGGAUGAAGGCCUUCGGGGUGUAAACCGCUUUCGCCUGUGACGAAGCGUGAGUGACGGUAAUGGGUAAAGAAGCACCGGCUAACUACGUG